CGAUCCCAACUUAGGUGAGAACACCUGCUAAGUUCAAGAAUAUAAUUAAGCGGAGGAAAAGAAACUUACAAGGAUUCCCCUAGUAACGACGAGCGAACCAGGAAGACACCAACAUGAAAAUAGGGUGGCAGUUUCGCCUGAAUUGUAAUCUAUAGAAGCAUCCUUAGCGGUGGACCAGGCCCAAGUCCCCUAGAAGGGGGAACCUGAGAGGGUGACAGGCCCGUCAGGCUGGGACCUUGCCGCACCAUGAGGCAUUGUCGGCGAGUCGGGUUGUUUGGGAAUGCAGCCCUAAUCGGGUGGUAAGUUUCAUCCAAGGAUAAAUAUGGGUGAGAGACUGAUAGCGAACAAGUAUCGUGAAGGAAAGAUGAAAAGGACUUUGAAAAGAGAGUUAAAGAGUGCUUGAAAUUGCCGGGAGGGAAGCGAAUGGAGGAUGACGAUGCGUCUUUGUAACACACCAACUACUUAUAAUCAAAAAAUUUUGCUCUUCCUCAGGGAACAGAACCCCCGAAUCCCUACAGGGGUCUAGUGAAAGCUAGUUCUCCCAUGUUCACCUCCCUGUGAUCGUGGGUUAGGACCACAGGUCAAACAAACCAGGCACCUUUCACAACUCACGAUCUCGUGAGUCAUGAGUCAAAGACCCUCAAAUUUUUUUCACGAAUCACCGAUGCCCGAGAUCACGAAAUGGGUAUAGCUCCUUUCUUAGUUAGCGACCUCCCCACCUAUAACCGUGGGCUAGGAUUAAAUGUCAGCGCCUCUCGCAGCCUCGCAACCUCACCGGUUGAACCGUCAAGCUUUCACCCUCUUAUUCCACGAACCCCCGAGAUACGAGGAUUCAACGGAGUGUCGACUCCUAUCUCCAAGCAAAGCGUGUCCACCCAUCGACCACACGAGUCCCACCUUAUGGCUCUACCAAGUGUCCACAUGAACCUUGGCACUCGACACUUCAUGACUUCUGAUGUCGAAAGCGGCUCCACUCAACCUCCGAACCCCCGAGUGCGCGAUAGGCGAUAGGGUUCCCGAUCCAACAAUCCUCAUACGACCCAGAUCCAAUGGCUCUCCUUCCUUCCUCGCUCCUCACGUCUUUGCGACUUGGAGUAACCAAUGUUUGGGCUCUCACCCUGUGAACUUCCGAGUUCGCGAGAUCUCUCGAUCUCUGCCACCUUUCCUCCUCAGAUGGACGACUCCUAGUCCUCUAGCCACUUCGUCGCUUUGUGUCCUCGCGCCUUGUAAUGCCCAUAAACAUAUAUCUAACAUUGUUAUCUUCACGAGCAAUUAUUUCUUAACAUCAUAAUACAAUAUCUAUUCAACAUAAUAUCUUAACAGCAUAAUACAAUAUCUAUUCAACAUAAUAUCUUAACAGCAUAAUACAAUAUCUAUUCAACAUAAUAUCAAUCUUCAUACCAUCAACUUAAACAAUUUAGAUUCAUCAAAUAAUAACGAAUUCAUAGCAGAAUAAUAAAUGCAUAAUUCAACAGGGUACCUGAAUCUGAUGCUAUUUUCAUUGCCAGCAAUUGGGAAAUGGUAUGUGGUUUAAAAAUCCCCUGUUGCUCUUUUCUUCUUUUGUUUCAGUUAUGAAGAGCCACAUCUCCAUACUAAUCUUGUUUAUGGCUGUGUAUGCAGCUCGCAUGGAGCAGGUUGGAUAUUGGGUAGGUGGGUAGGCCUUUAAGGCUCUAGAUUGUGAACUACAGUGCUCUGAUACCAGAUGUAGUGACCAUCAUUUAAUUUAAACUACCAUAUAAUUAAAAUAGAACAGUAAAUUUGAAAUUUACUCAAAUUUCACUUAAUCCAGCACAAUCAAUCCUAUAUUUCAAUAAAUAAAAUUUGGUAACCAUCUACAUACCUCACUCUGAUGCUAUCCGCAGUCGCUUGCUCCCUUUGCUUGAACCUGCUCCUUAGGACACCCCAAAACCAGCCACCCUACCGACUAGUACGCCUAGCCCUAGGACAUCAACGGACGUCCUAGCCCUCCAAGCCCAAAACCUCUUCAACCCCGGUGCACUGUAAAUCCCACUGUAAAAUUUCACUCUGUCCCAAUACUCCAAGCUCCCUCUCCUGUCGAAUGCAUGAAUCAAUAUCCCCCUCAUACUCCUUCUCCA
rfam:Picea glauca, whole genome shotgun sequence.